rnacentral:snRNA from 2 species
UUGCUUUGGCAGCAUAUAUACUAAAAUUGGAACAAUACAGAGAUUAGCAUGGCCCCUGUGCAAGGAUGACAUGCAAAUUCAUGAAGAAUUCCAUAUUUUU